rnacentral:ncRNA from 1 species
GCAGAGUAGGACGCCGCGCGUUGUUCCGAGGCAGAGCAGAUAAUUGCUUCGGACGCAGUGCUCCGGGGACGGGGAGUUGUCCCGGGGACGAAAAGCCAGAUGGCUUACGGUGCGGCAUCCGCAUCCCGCUGC